CCCCUAGGGAUAAUGAUUUCAGCAUUAGUCAUCCAACUUGCAGCACUGGCCGCUCUUGUAGCAUGUCAGUACUACGACCCUCGCUGCCCAGUAAGGGAGCACCAAAUUGGAUGCCAAUUUAUGGGACGUCUACUUCUCUCCGGCACAAGCCAACUUUGGCGUUUACCUUGCCUGACAGUAUCGUGUGCUUUAGAUGGUUCUGUUACCAGCAAAGGGUGUCCAGGGAUGACUGGAAGUAACCCUCAUCCUGGAGCUGCUCCUGGACCAGGAAUUU